rnacentral:rRNA from 1 species
UACAGAGGAGCCAAGCGUUGUCCGGAUUGACUGGGCGUAAAGCGCACGCAGGCGGGGGUGCGUCGUGGGGUGUGAAAUCUGGCCGCUUAACGGCCAGGCGCCAUCCCAUACGGCACGCCUGGAGCCUUGCAGAGGUCGGUGGAAUUGCCGGUGUAGUGGUGAAAUGCGUAGAGAUCGGCAGGAACACCCAGGGGGGAAACCAGCCGACUGGGCAAGUGCUGACGCUGAGGUGCGAGAGCGUGGGGAGCGAACCGG